rnacentral:lncRNA from 1 species
GGCUUUUGGAAGUAAGUGCUUUUUGAAGAUGUUUACAUCAGCGGUGAAUCGGGAGUGAGGAAUUGAAAUUUUACAGAGACAAAGGGAUCUGAAAUCAACCAGAAUAAAAUGACCACGGAGUAGACGUGUUACAAAGAAAAAGAGAGGAAAAUCGGCAACAAUAGUGACAACAAGAACAAAAUAACAAGAAAACUCCCACAAAGACAGAAGGAAGACAAUGCAGCUAGUGAGCAAAUUAGGAAUUUGAAAGCAUCUUCUGAGAGCUUGAAUGAUGAAUGUACUGAGGUUCCUAAGGGUGAGGUGAGAAGACCCAUCCAGCAUCACAAGACCCAUUCAAGGUGAUGUGGCUAGUUUGUGCUGAAGGCAGAAGUUUCCAGAAUUCCUGACCCUCAUGCUAUGGAACAGUCCUUGUGAGAAUAUCAGAGAUGAAUGAACAAGCAGGUGGAAGUUCGGAGGAAGACACGAUUAUAGACAAAAUGAAGGCACUACAUUUUCUCUGAUAAAAAAGUCUCUCAACAUUUUUAUAUCCUGUUGGUUUUCUAGGAAACGUAGACAUGCUCUGUAGGAAAUAAUCUCAAAAUGGACGUGAUGGAUUAAAGAUGGGGAAACAUGCCCUGG